rnacentral:rRNA from 16 species
CAGUCGAACGAUGAACCACUUCGGUGGGGAUUAGUGGCGAACGGGUGAGUAACACGUGGGCAAUCUGCCCUGCACUCUGGGACAAGCCCUGGAAACGGGGUCUAAUACCGGAUAUUGACCUUCACGGGCAUCUGUGAGGUUCGAAAGCUCCGGCGGUGCAGGAUGAGCCCGCGGCCUAUCAGCUUGUUGGUGAGGUAAUGGCUCACCAAGGCGACGACGGGUAGCCGGCCUGAGAGGGCGACCGGCCACACUGGGACUGAGACACGGCCCAGACUCCUACGGGAGGCAGCAGUGGGGAAUAUUGCACAAUGGGCGAAAGCCUGAUGCAGCGACGCCGCGUGAGGGAUGACGGCCUUCGGGUUGUAAACCUCUUUCAGCAGGGAAGAAGCGAAAGUGACGGUACCUGCAGAAGAAGCGCCGGCUAACUACGUGCCAGCAGCCGCGGUAAUACGUAGGGCGCAAGCGUUGUCCGGAAUUAUUGGGCGUAAAGAGC